CUCGCUCAAGCACAUAAACACUGUACCCCUUUUGAGGUGGCCAUGUACACAAGCAAAGCUCUCGUUCUUGUGGUUUUUAUAGCUGCCACGAUGGUGAUGGAGUGCUACACAAACGAUUCUGAUGGUUGGCCAACAUGUGUACAACAGGCGUGCACAGUGGAUAAAAGAACCAACACCCAGAGCUGCCCACCUGGUUGCACUUGUCAUGUCAACGUCACAACAGAUACUCAGCAAAAAGGAUUUUGUAUAAAAACGUUCAACGUAGAACGCACAUACCACUUAGUAGCUGAAUAAAAAUGAAAAUGUCCUGUCCCUAUUAAACAAACUUUUGAGGCACGUUUGAUGGCAAACUUCAGCACUCAUCGUAGUUGUCGAUGACAGCUGCGGAAAUUCGAAGGCAUCAGAAGUGCUCUUAAUGCGCAAUGCAAAAAAUAACAUGUACACAAAGCAGAGAGACUUUUCCUGAAUUGAAGAAUGUCAUUUCCCUAUCUUAAUUAGGAGACAAUAA